GAUUAGAUUUUUACAGAUCUUG
rnacentral:tRNA from 1 species